GGCGCUAUCGUCUAGUGGCCUAGGACGUCGCCCUCUCAAGGCGAAAACACGGGUUCAACUCCCGUUAGCGCUA
rnacentral:tRNA from 1 species